rnacentral:rRNA from 1 species
AUUGAACGCUGGCGGCAGGCUUAACACAUGCAAGUCGAGCGAGUGGCGGACGGGUGAGUAAUGUCUGGGAAACUGCCUGAUGGAGGGGGAUAACUACUGGAAACGGUAGCUAAUACCGCAUACCAUCAGAUGUGCCCAGAUGGGAUUAGCUAGUAGGGGGGGUAAUGGCUCACCUAGGCGACGAUCCCUAGCUGGUCUGAGAGGAUGACCAGCCACACUGAGACUGAGACACGGUCCAGACUCCGACGGGAGGCAGCAGUGGGGAAUAUUGCACAAUGGGCGCAAGCCUGAUGCAGCCAUGCCGCGUGUGUGAAGAAGGCCUUCGGGUUGUAAAGUUCUUUCGGUGGCGAGGCGUUAACUACAGAAGAAGCACCGGCUAACUCCGUGCCAGCCGCCGCGGUAAUAC